rnacentral:rRNA from 1 species
AGUGAACGCUGGCGGCAGGCCUAAUACAUGCAAGUCGAACGGCAGCACAGCAGAGCUUGCUCUGUGGGUGGCGAGUGGCGGACGGGUGAGGAAUACAUGGGAAUCUGCCCAGUCGUGGGGGAUAACGUAGGGAAACUUACGCUAAUACCGCAUGCGCCCUUCGGGGGAAAGCCGGGGACCUUCGGGCCUGGCGCGAUUGGAUGAGCCCAUGUCGGAUUAGCUAGUUGGCGGGGUAAUGGCCCACCAAGGCGACGAUCCGUAGCUGGUCUGAGAGGAUGAUCAGCCACACUGGAACUGAGACACGGUCCAGACUCCUACGGGAGGCAGCAGUAGGGAAUAUUGGACAAUGGGCGCAAGCCUGAUCCAGCCAUGCCGCGUGAGUGAAGAAGGCCCUCGGGUUGUAAAGCUCUUUUGUCCGGAAAGAAAAGCGCCGGGUUAAUACCCUAGUGUCCUGACGGUACCGGAAGAAUAAGCACCGGCUAACUUCGUGCCAGC